rnacentral:rRNA from 1 species
AUUGAACGCUGGCGGCAGGCCUAACACAUGCAAGUCGAACGGUAACAGGAAGAAGCUUGCUUCUUUGCUGACGAGUGGCGGACGGGUGAGUCAUGUCUGGGAAACUGCCUGAUGGAGGGGGAUAACUACUGGAAACGGUAGCUAAUACCGCAUAAUGUCGCAAGACCAAAGAGGGGGACCUUCGGGCCUCUUGCCAUCGGAUGUGCCCAGAUGGGAUUAGCUAGUAGGUGGGGUAACGGCUCACCUAGGCGACGAUCCCUAGCUGGUCUGAGAGGAUGACCAGCCACACUGGAACUGAGACACGGUCCAGACUCCUACGGGAGGCAGCAGUGGGGAAUAUUGCACAAUGGGCGCAAGCCUGAUGCAGCUAUGCCGCGUGUAUGAAGAAGGCCUUCGGAUUGUAAAGUACUUUCAGCGGGGAGGAAGGGAGUAUAGUUAAUACCUUUGCUCAUUGACGUUACCCGCAGAAGAAGCACCGGCUAACUCCGUG